rnacentral:rRNA from 1 species
AGCUACAUGGAUAACCGUGGUAAUUCUAGAGCUAAUACAUGCUGUCAAACCCGACUUUUUGGAAGGGUUGUAUUUAUUAGAUAUUAAGCCAAUAUUCCUUGUGUCUAUUGUGGUGAAUCAUAGUAACUGAUCGAAUCCCUUUUUGUGGAUAAAUCAUUCAAGUUUCUGCCCUAUCAGCUUUCGAUGGUAGUGUAUUGGACUACCAUGGCGAUGACGGGUGACGGAGAAUUAGGGUUCGAUUCCGGAGAGGGAGCCUGAGAAAUGGCUACCACAUCCAAG